rnacentral:misc_RNA from 1 species
GAUGAAGAACGUAGCGAAAUGCGAUAAGUAAUGCGAAUUGCAGAAUUCAGUGAGUCAUCGAAUCUUUGAACGCACAUUGCGCCCUGCGGUAUUCCGCAGGGCAUGCCUGUUCGAGCGUCAUUUCAACCCUCAAGCCUCGCUUGGUGUUGGGCCCUGCCCGCCGCGGCCGGCCCUAAAGAUAGUGGCGGCGCCGCCUGGCCCUCAGCGUAGUACAGCUCUCGCUCCAGGGUCCGGCGGCAGCCUGCCAGAACCCCCCAACUCUGUGGUUGACCUCGGAUCAGGUAGGGAUACCCGCUGAACUUAAGCAUAUCAAUAAGCGGAGGA